rnacentral:RNase_P_RNA from 1 species
AAAGAAAGACGAGUGAUCGCUGGCUUUGCCAGAGGAAAGUCCGAGCACCACUAGGAUAAAGUGCCUGUUAACGGCAGGGCAGGGCAACCUGACGGAUAGUGCAACAGAAAAUAUACCGCCAUUAUGGUAAGGGUGAAAAGGUAAGGUAAGAGCUUACCACAAAUUUGGUAACAAGUUUGGUAUUGUAAACCCCACUUGGUGCAAGGCUAAAUAGAGGAACGAUAAGUUAUCCUAGACAGUUCCUGGGUAAGCUGCUCGAGCUAGUUGGUGACAGCUAGCCUAGAUGGAUGAUCACAUCUACAUAUAGAAACAGAACUCGGCUUAUAGUCUUUCUUUUAUC